AAGGCCUUUGGGUCGUAAACUCCUGUUAAGUGGGAAGAAAGGUUUGUUAUUAAUGCCAGCAAAUUAUGACGGUACCAUUAAAGAAAAGCACCGGCUAACCUCGUGC
rnacentral:rRNA from 1 species